GGGCGCGGAACACGUGCGAAGCCGCAGCCUGGACUGCGCUCCGGGCAGCUCCCGGAGGUGCCUCUCCAGUGUGUUCUCUGCGCGCUUUCCUUCUGCCCUGCGGAGGGUUAGUCAUGGACUUUGCCUGCGGUUUGGACUUUGGACUGUGUCGCUUUGUGUUUAUAAAUGUGAGGUGCUGAGAAGCUCAUUGGAAGAUUCUCUGUGAGUGAAUGGGGCUCUGCAAAUGUUUGGGGCCCAGCCAUUUCACUGGAAGGAUCUGUAAGUCCUUUCUCCUAGGCCCUUUGCUUUUAUUGAAGAGGAAUCCUGCCUGGAAAGAUGUCCCUGUUGACUGUCACCCCGGCAUCGGUACCAAGUUGCUGUUCCAGUGCAUGAAGGCCCUUAUCUGCAGGAAGAAGCAACGUCCAGGAAGCGGUGUUCAGAGACCUGUCUGGCACACAAACAGGCAUCUUUAAAAGGGAGAACCUCUUUUCGCCAGAGCGAUCCCUGCGGAAAGCAGCUUUCAGUAGAGCUAAAAGGAACACACCCUGGGGCAGCUCUGCUUUGAACGUUGCUGUCCAUUUAAUAAACAGCCCUUCUCUUCUGACCAGCGCCUUCGCCUUCCAGCACCAGGAACAGCAAGCAGCAGGACUGAGUAUAAACACUUGGAAGACAAAGAAAACCUUUGAAGCUUCCAGGAAAGUCAACCCAGUCCCUGACAUAUCUGCUCCGAUAUUAGAGUCUGAGUUGCUGGAGUUACUUGUCUGGUAUCUUUUAUGAGCACUGCUUGUACACAAAAUAGUCU